UCUAAGCUGCAAACCCUAAACCCCAAAUCCAAUCCUCAAGCCUUAAAUCCCAAUCCUUAAUCCCCAAAUCCUAAACUCCAAUUCUUAAACCCCAAAUCCUAAACCUCAAGCUCAAAUCUCCAAAUCCCAAAAUUCAAAAUCUUAAACCCCAAACCCCAGACCACAAAUUCUAAACCCCAAACUCCUAAACCCCUAAUCCCUAAAUCCUAAACCCCGC
rnacentral:lncRNA from 1 species